rnacentral:rRNA from 1 species
CGGUCAAAUCACGAAAACACCGGUUCUCGUUCGAUCACCGGUAAGCAUCGUAGAGCCAGGUCAGUACUUAGAUGGGGGACCGCUUAAAACACCUGGUACUGUAAG